rnacentral:snRNA from 1 species
GUGCUUGCUUCGGCAGCACAUAUACUAAAAUUUGAAUGAUACAGAGAUUAGCAUGGGAUCCUAAAGAACGGGCCACCUUUCCUGAUAAAGUAGAGGCCAACCUUU